GUGUCAGCCGCCGCGGUAAUACGUAUGAGGCAAGCGUUGUUCGGAAUUAUUGGGCGUAAAGGGCAUCUAGGCGGGAUGUUAAGUCAGGUGUGAAAUUUCAGGGCUCAACCCUGAGACUGCAUUUGAUACUGGCAUUCUUGAGUUCGGUAGAGGAAGGCGGAAUUCCCGGUGUAGCGGUGAAAUGCGUAGAUAUCGGGAAGAACACCGGUGGCGAAGGCGGCCUUCUGGACCUGGACUGACGCUGACAUGCGAAAGUGUGGGGAUCAAACGGGAUUAGAUACCCUCGUAGUCC
rnacentral:rRNA from 1 species